rnacentral:snRNA from 2 species
GUCCCUUCCGGAACAUCCAAUAAAAUUGAAUGAUAGAGAGAAUAUUAGCAUGGAUCCUGCUCAAUAAUGACACACAAAUCAAGAAAUGGUCUGAAAUUACU